rnacentral:lncRNA from 1 species
CCUGAAGGAGGAGGCGCGCGCAGCGCCCGCGUGGGCCGAGUUCCUGGGCCACUCGCGGCAUAGUAUUGUUUUCUUUUUUCUUUUUAUGCAGUUUUUGCUUCAUAUUUGAAUUUAUGUAAUAAAUCAUGUGCUGAUCCAAAAAGUAUGAAAAUUUUUGUAUAGGUUCCAUGGAAUAAGUAGAACACAGAAAAAAUGUUAAGUUUUAUUUUCUGAUAUUUUGUAGGU